AGUCCCGCAACGAGCGCAACCCCUAUUCUUAGUUGCCAGCGAGUAAUGUCGGGAACUCUAGGGAGACUGCCCCGGAAAUCGGGGAGGAAGGUGGGGAUGACGUCAAGUCCUCAUGGCCUUUAUGUCUAGGGCUACACACGUGCUACAAUGGGCGGUACAAAGGGCAGCGAAAGCGCGAGCUCGAGCCAAUCCCAAAAAACCGUCCUCAGUUCGGAUUUCAGUCUGCAACUCGACUGCAUGAAGGUGGAAUCGCUAGUAAUCCCGGAUCAGCAUGCCGGGGUGAAUACGUUCCCGGGCCUUGUACACACCGCCCGUCACAU
rnacentral:rRNA from 1 species